AUUGAACGCUGGCGGCAGGCCUAACACAUGCAAGUCGAGCGGAUGAAGGGAGCUUGCUCCUGGAUUCAGCGGCGGACGGGUGAGUAAUGCCUAGGAAUCUGCCUGGUAGUGGGGGAUAACGUCCGGAAACGGGCGCUAAUACCGCAUACGUUCUGAGGUAGAAAGUGGGGGAUCUUCGGACCUCACGCUAUCAGAUGAGCCUAGGUCGGAUUAGCUAGUUGGUGGGGUAAAGGCAUACCAAGGCGACGAUCCGUAACUGGUCUGAGAGGAUGAUCAGUCACACUGGAACUGAGACACGGUCCAGACUCCUACGGGAGGCAGCAGUGGGGAAGAUUGGACAAUGGGCGAAAGCCUGAUCCAGCCAUGCCGCGUGUGUGAAGAAGGUCUUCGGAUUGUAAAGCACUUUAAGUUGGGAGGAAGGGCAGUAAGUUAAUACCUUGCUGUUUUGACGUUACCAACAGAAUAAGCACCGGCUAACUUCGUG
rnacentral:rRNA from 1 species